AUUGAACGCUGGCGGCGUGCUUAACACAUGCAAGUCGAGCGGAGCGGCGAACGGGUGAGUAACGCGUGAGUAACUGCACCCCUCUCUGGGAUAACAGUUGGAAACGGCUGCUAAUACCGGAUAGCGGGGGAUGACUCGCGUCUUAUCCGCUUGUUGGUUGGGUAGGGGCCCACCAAGGCGACGACGGGUAGCCGGCCUGAGAGGUCGGACGGCCACAUUGGGCUGGGGUACGGCCCAAACUCCAACGGUGGACAGCAGUGGGGAAUAUUGCGCAUUGGGGGAAACCCUAAUGCAGCAACGCCGCGGUCGGGAUGACGGCCUUCGGGUUGUAAACCGCUUUCAGCCAUGACGCGGUAGUGGCAGAAGAAGCACCGGCUAACUACGUGCCAGCCGCCGCGGUAAUAC
rnacentral:rRNA from 1 species